ensembl:lncRNA
AAUGAAUUGUGUGUCAAAUUACCUGGAGAGCUUUUGAGCCGAGGUGAUGUGACCACACGUCCUCUGCGUGUCACAUGACCGAUAGUGAGAAUGGAGCCUUGGUUUUACAAGCAGCUCAUUUGACACUCGGCCGAUGGAGACAUUUAGUUCAGCGUCUCUCGGCACACGACGCCAGGAAAGAAUCAAUUUUCCCGUCCGAUCUUAUUUAACAAAUACACGUCCUUGAUGCAUUGUGCUCUGACAGAAACUUUAAUAUCACCCAGGACACCACCUGCAAUUUGAAACGAGAGUCAGUGAAUGGGAUUCGGAGGUUGUGUUGGCAGUGAAUCCACCAGUCGAAUGCAGCGCUGGAGACAGAGAGCUGCACCUCAGCAUGACGAAUGUCAUGUGCCUCCACAACAUGAGACAUAUUUGAGUUUACAGGGACAUUAAGGAUUAGAGACCGAAGGGAAAAACCCACAAGACGUUUAUUCAUUCAUUCAGCAAAUAUUUAAUUUAGUCAGUAAAGAUGUUUUAACAAGAAAACAGUAAAAACCUGACUAAAAAAAUGACCUCAUCUCAGGACUUAUGGUUAAGAAGGGACAAUAAUGGUUCUGGGUUUAAGGGGGGCACUAAGGGUUUACAUUAGCAUUUAGCUGACGCUUCUAUCCAAAGUGACUUACAUUGCAUUUGUAACCCAUGGUUUUUCACAUUUGGCCCGGGGCGCAAUUACGGGUUGGGUGUCUUGCUCAGGGACACUUUGACAUGGGACAUGGAGCAGCCAGGGUUUGAACCACUAACCUUGCGGUUCCCAGUGCUCCCUCUCUACUUCAUGCGCCAUCGUCGCCCGGGUUUAGGGUUGAGGAGGGGCACUAAGGGUUUAGGGUUGAGGAGGGGCCCUAAGGGUUUAGGGUUGAGGAGGGGCCCUAAGGUUUUAGGGUUGAGGAGGGGCACUAAGGGUUUAGGGUUGAGGAGGGGCCCUAAGGGUUUAGGGUUGAGGGGGGACAUUGGACCAGAGUAACUUCCCCUUGAGCUACCGAUUCGUUGACGAUUUGCUGACGGGUAUAAAGACCGAGCUGGGACGCGUCCUCACCGGAGCAAACAUGGGUCACUCCGAGACGGGGGGAGAGGGGGGACACAGCAGAUCUACACUGUGUUUGAGUUGUGUUUGAGACCACAUCACACUUCAGAGGAGAUGGAGGCAGGCGGACGGUGUGCAGGAGGUGAGCGAUCAGUCUUCAGCCGACUCUGAAACAACAACCAGGACCAGCGGACUCACACACUGCCGUCCAAACACAAACGACAAGUUCAUUGGUGACAAUGAAACAUGAAACAAUUUAAAACAACAAAAUGACAAACGACCGUCUGGCGGAUGUCAGGUGUGUCAGCUGGGCAUCAGGACUCAAACGCAGACUCACCGAGCAAAACGCCGGGACACGUAACGGGACACUGAAUGAAGAAGCGACCUGGAGACGGUUUAAAUACACUGGGAAGGUGGAGUGAUUGGACACAGGAGGAAACAAUCAGCCACACGCCAGGCAAUCAUACUCACAGAGGAAAGCACACCAGGGCAGGAAGUGAAGUCAACCGAGGGACACGAGAGGCAGGAAACUACAAAAUAAAACAGGAACUGAACCCACAGCGCCUGGCGGAUGGUUGCAGCGGCUGUGAAGGUGGAAUCCUGACCAUCGCAUUUUACAAGUAUUUAUGCAGAUUAUAAGUGAUGAUAUCUGCCACUUGGUUGCUAGAGAGUGUAGUUAUUUCCAUUUGCCACUGAACGCACCAUCCGCUGAAACGGCAGUAAAGCAUUUACCAAAACCCUUUGCUCUUAAAAGACCUACAGCUCAUAGAUGUGGCCGGGACAGAGUCUGCAGGAGAAUAACGCUGGUAUCAGCUGCCGUCCGAUGCUAAGACGCAGCGUCUAUGUAUAGUGCAAACUAAGAUUCUAAGAAUAUGCAUGACUGACAGGGAGGAGGAAACACAGACGGACACACAGAGUCAUGGAGGAAGUGGGAUUUGAGUUUGUGUGAGGAGGCUAAGGGACGCCACGUAAACACAAACAUACCCGCGAUGACACUUGGCAUUUUCCGGUGCCCAAGUGUGACUCACGAGCAUCGGAUUAGCUCGUCCACGCACUGCUCCUCGCCCCUGCGGCACUUCCCCGACCUUCAGCGGGAAGCCGCCACCGCCGCUGACAACCGGCCAACGAACAGACCGUUUGUCCUCUCGCCGCUGGCACGGCGCACGUGGCAGGAGGCCGACCGGCCGACACACUGCGACCGACUAGACCGGCGGGCGGCGCGGCCAAAACCGCCGGCGUUCGGGUCGGAGCGGCCCGCGGACUCAGAGGGACAUCGCAGCAGUUCUGGAUGACACGAGCACGGCUUCGUUUAAUCGUAUGAGUUAGUGUUUGUGUGGAAAAAGCAUCGAUGGUUACAGUGUAUUUGUAAUUGUAAAGUUCACAGUGGUGUCUAAACAGCAAUAUUUCAUUAAAGUUUUACGUUUUAAAUAUUUAUUGUCACCUUUUUAACUUUUAUUGUCUUUUCAUCGUGUUCAAUUCACUUAUGUAUCAAUGUUGAAUCCUGUGAGGUUGGUUAUUUUUGAUAUUUUUGAUCUUUUGCAUCAGCUAACUUAUAUAAUAACUACAUGAACUACAAUACUAUAUACUCACAAAAAUGCCCCUUUUUAGCCUUCAUGUUCUAACAUGUAUGACUCCACACCCACGUACCUGAUGUGAUGCACCAGGUGAGAUGAGACGGUGAAUAUCAGAUGGUGAUUAACUCCGUGCCAGAGGUCCACAUUCUCCUUCUAAAUGCAACAAGCUGUGUUUGACUGGAUUGAACAGGAAAUGGAUUCGAGCGGAGGUGAACCCCCCCGGAGCGACCUGAGACGGCCAGAGUCACGCCAGCGUUACAGUAACAUGCUGCUGAUUCCACCUCUGAGGUCGUCUGUUGCAAUGUUGUCACAUAAAUCACGCGUGUGUGUGGGUGUGUGCGUGUGUGUGUGCGCACGGAUGUUCUCAAACCUAUCGUUGUGAGGACCACUGCUUUUUGGGGGGAAUUGGAAACCCAUUUAGUAGGUACAGGUGUAAUACUAAUCCCUGUGCAAAUGAAUGAUAGCCUGUAAAUGACCGUGUUGAUCGACUGCUCAUGAGCUAAACAACCCACUUACACUAAUCUGUGUACACAAAAAUGCUCUAAAUACUUCAUAUACACAAUAUCGUGGGUAGAAAAACAACCAUCAUCUCGUUUUUCUUCCAUAAUUGUCAUACGUUGUGUGGUUUGUAUCUGCUGUGGUCACAUGUUUUUAGCACCCGGACUCACCGGCUUCCUGCUUGAAGGCCUUGAUGACGGACUCUAUAAGAGAAGAUAGAGUCUAUAGAGUACACAUCUCACACAGGACUCAUGCUGCCAGUAAGAUGCAUUUUUCCAAUAACCCAUGCGAUACAAAUAUGCAUUAAGAUGCAUGCGGUUGUGCUGAUUUAGCUUGAUAAGAUCUGAACCGCUCUCAGUCCGCUCGCCCAAUACGCAAUAAACCAACCGGCAGCCGCCGACCCGGCGUUGGCGCCGGCAGUUUGGGAGGAAACAAGCUCGCGCACACAAACAGAAGGAGCACGUGCCAAUAACUUCACAAGGUCGUAAACGUUCGAUUCUGUGGCCCAACAGGAGCAAAAAUGUCAGUUUAUAAACUCAGGACUAAGGUUAGGAAGAGAAAAGAAAGGGUACAAAACUUGUUUGAGGAUAAAUUUACUGAAGUAGAACUUCCUUCAGUGCACUACAGACUUUUAAUAUACAAAUUGCACUUGGAGGUGAACAUUUGUUCACAAAUGUUACAAAACAAUAACCACUUAGGAUUGAGUGCACUUCUUGAAUUAAAUACACUGGCAUAACUAGAAAAUGACCAAUACACUCUAUGAAGCAGCUUUUCUUCACACUUUGGAAGGCGUAAUUGUUUCAUUAUGAGCAUAAAAAAAUGGAUUCAACUACAGCAGAUUAACUUUUAAUGCUUUGCAACAAGCUUCGUUCUUAGAAAAAAUAUCUCAGAUAAUCACAAGAGUCAAACAGCUACCUUAGAAAAAGCCUUCACAUGUUUAAAGGUUAAAAAACAUUGAGAGAAAGAAAAAAGAAAAACAGAAAAAUGAGAAGAAGUGUGUUUGCAGAAGAAUCCCUGGAUGGGUUUUUAUGGCAGGGAUCCAUCUGCAGGUGUUUCUGUGUGUGCACAGUAGCCACGAAGAAAUGUCACCAGUACUCCUCUUAAACAAAUCACAAUCAUAAACGCGUCUCCUACUUCAGCACCACGGACAGCGCCGCCGACUUAGCCUCUCUUCUCUCAGCUGACGGAGAAACUUCAACAGGACGCGAAGUCGCUGUGUACAAACUCUCUUAAUCUGUUCAGGAGACACCGGCGAGCUUCUCUGUGUCUCCUCCCGCCUCCGCCCAACAUCUGGCUGCCCAUCUUUCACCUCCUGCUUCCAUAUCCGGCCCGUUGUGUUCACCGCGCUAAUC